rnacentral:rRNA from 1 species
UGCAUAUCCAAAAAGCGGAGGAAAGGAAACCAACCGGGAUUGCCUUAGUAACGGCGAGUGAAGCGGCAAAAGCUCAAAUUUGAAAUCUGGUACCUUCGGUGCCCGAGUUGUAAUUUGGAGAGGGCAACUUUGGGGCCGUUCCUUGUCUAUGUUCCUUGGAACAGGACGUCAUAGAGGGUGAGAAUCCCGUGUGGCGAGGAGUGCGGUUCUUUGUAAAGUGCCUUCGAAGAGUCGAGUUGUUUGGGAAUGCAGCUCUAAGUGGGUGGUAAAUUCCAUCUAAAGCUAAAUAUUGGCGAGAGACCGAUAGCGAACAAGUACAGUGAUGGAAAGAUGAAAAGAACUUUGAAAAGAGAGUGAAAAAGUACGUGAAAUUGUUGAAAGGGAAGGGCAUUUGAUCAGACAUGGUGUUUUGUGCCCUCUGCUCCUUGUGGGUAGGGGAAUCUCGCAUUUCACUGGGCCAGCAUCAGUUUUGGUGGCAGGAUAAAUCCAUAGGAAUGUAGCUUGCCUCGGUAAGUAUUAUAGCCUGUGGGAAUACUGCCAGCUGGGACUGAGGACUGCGACGUAAGUCAAGGAUGCUGGCAUAAUGGUUAUAUGCCGCCCGUCUUGACC